ACGGAAGGCAGCAGUGGGGAAUAUUGCACAAUGGGCGCAAGCCUGAUGCAGCAACGCCGCGUGAGGGAAGACGGUCUUCGGAUUGUAAACCUUUGUCUUUGGUGAAGAAGAAAGUGACGGUAGCCAAGGAGGAAGCCACGGCUAACUACGUGCCAGCAGCCGCGAUAAUACGUAGGUGGCAAGCGUUGUCCGGAAUUACUGGGUGUAAAGGGAGCGCAGGCGGGACUGCAAGUUGGAUGUGAAAUACCGGAGCUCAACUCCGGGGCUGCAUCCAAAACUGUAGUUCUUGAGUGGAGUAGAGGUAAGCGGAAUUCCGAGUGUAGCGGUGAAAUGCGUAGAUAUUCGGAGGAACACCAGUGGCGAAGGCGGCUUACUGGGCUCUAACUGACGCUGAGGCUCGAAAGCGUGGGGAGCAAACAGGAUUAGAUACCCUGGUA
rnacentral:rRNA from 1 species